rnacentral:rRNA from 1 species
GACGAACGCUGGCGGCGUGCUUAACACAUGCAAGUCGAACGGUGAAGCGCCUUCCUUUUUGGUGGGUGUGGAUGCGUGGCGAACGGGUGAGUAACACGUGCGUAACCUGCCCCCUUCUUCUGGAUAACCGCAUGAAAGUGUGGCUAAUACGGGAUAUCCUGGGUCUGUCGCAUGAUGGGUCUGUGAAAGCUAUUGUUUCGGUGGGGGAUGGGCUCGCGCCCUAUCAGCUGGUGGGGGGGGUGAUGGUCUAGCAAGGCGGUGAGGGGUAGCCGGCCUGAGAGGGUAGACGGUCCCAGAGGGCCUGAGGCACGGGUGAGACUGCGAUGGGAGGCAGCAGUGGGGAAGAGUGCACAGUGGGGGCAAGUAUGAUGCAGAGACGCCGCGGGAGCGAUAGAGGCGUUCGCGGGAUGAACGUCUUUGGCUAGUGAAGCGGUCUUGCCUCGUUUGUAGGUGGGUUGACGGUAGCUGGAUAAGAAGCGCCGGCUAACUACGUG